rnacentral:misc_RNA from 1 species
AUUACCAGCGCCACGUGACUUCCGUCUAAGUUUUUGUUAUUUUUCAGCAGAUAUGAUAAAGAAGUUUCUAAAGCUUAUUUAAGCGGGUAUUUGAGAAUUGGAAUUAAGUUAAUCGGAGAGAUAAGAGCUUUAUCUACAAGGUACGAUACACUUCUCCAUUUUCAGAAGCUUUUAAAAAGAUUUAAGAUACGCGCUUAGCGCGAAACUAUGGCUUCUCCAUGAUGGCUUCAUCGGAAUUAGAAACUUCUGAGGACGUUAACAAAACCAUUAAAGAUGGUUUAUUAAAGGGCCUGAACUCCGGAAUUCAAAGGCAGCGAUCAAAAGUAAUCAAAUUAUUAAACUUUAAACAUUUCAAAUAAUCAUUUUAUACGCAUCUAGUCAUACUUACAGACUGAUCUGAAGGUAAAAUGUGAAUAUAAAGGCGAAACGAGAGCCUUUUGCAUGACGAAACCAGUGAAAUAUGAGGAAUUAGUAAAGAAGAUAUGUGAAAUAUUCGGAAAGCAAUUGUCAAUUUGUUAUACACUGAGAAGUGGAGAAGUAUUAAAUAUCUUUUUUGGCUAAAAUAUCUCAAAAUUAAAUGAAACAAUUGAUAAUUUUGUAAACAGAUUAUUACUCCUGUCGUGUCUCAAACUGAUUUAGAUAAAGCCAUCGAUCUGUUCGAUAGAAAUAAAAAAAUGAAGAGUCUGCGACUGAUAUUAAGCUCUGAACAAUUUCCUUCUAAUAAUAAUGACCCACCGAAACGAUAUUCUCCUCCUCCGGGUUGUCUUCCUGAUGAAGAUACGGCAAAAAUUUGUCGCCCACAGCAUGUAACGCCCGGGGGCGAAUUUAUUCCUGAGGACUUACCUAGUCAGCAAGAAAGCCCAUCUAGCGUUAAAUCAAGUGAAUACGGUGCAAGUUACAAAGGUUCCCUCAACAGUGUACGGACUUCUUCCACUUCUCUAAUGCAUAAUAGUGAUUAUCGCGUAUUAAAUAGUCCUGCAGGGACUUUUCCACGAACGAAAACUAAUAAUAUUUCCUCAGAAACUGCCUUAAAUUCGGCAAAUAGAACAUUUCCUCGGUCAAAAGAAACUGGCAGUUUCAUGCCAUCAUUUUAUGGUGAUAAAAGUAACGGUUCCUUUCAAAGAAAUCAAAAUGGUGAUACUUCUAGCUCAACUUGCUCGAGUGGCAGCGGAAUGUCAUCUCCUUCAUUUAACGAAUUCUAUGAUAAAUUAUAUCAAGUGAGGAAUAAAAUGAACGAAAAUAGCUUAAGUUCUCCUCAACCUCCACGUCACUUUAAAAAAGAGAUUGCCAUAGGCGAAGGAGGUUUUGGCAAGGUGUUCAAAUGCUAUGACCAAGACACUGGACGGGAAUUGGCAAUGAAAGAGGUUAAAUUAUGUAAUAAGAAUAAAGAAACUUCAAAGGAAGUUAAAGCCCUUAUGAUGGAGAUCAAAUUACUAAAAGGCAUUGAGCAUCAGCGUAUUGUACAAUAUUUUGGCUGUAUGGCAACGGAAGAUUCUUUAUGUAUCUUUAUGGAAUAUAUGGCCGGGGGUUCAGUUAGGAAAGAAAUUAUAAAAUACAAAGGUCUUUCUGAGAAUGUCACCAAGCGAUAUACCAAACAGAUAUUAGAGGGCUUGGCAUACUUACAUAGUUUUGUUAUUGUUCAUCGUGAUAUUAAAGGCGCUAAUAUACUUAAGGAUCCUAGUGGAAAUGUAAAAAUAGCUGAUUUCGGAGCUUCAAAGCACGUACAGGCCGUUUGCACAUCUAUGGGAUUACGAACAGCUACUGGCACUCCGUAUUGGAUGGCACCAGAAGUCAUAAAUGGUCGGCCAUAUGGUCGACGAGCCGAUAUAUGGAGUCUCGGUGCUACUAUUGUUGAAAUGUUAACCACAAACCCGCCAAACCAUGACUUAGAAGCUAUGGCCGCCAUAUUUAGAACAGCAACAGAACUUCCAAAAUACGAAUUACCAAAAUCAAUUAGUCAAACUUCUAGAGACUUUAUAAAACUCUGCUUUACAAGGGAUCCGAAAUUUAGACCAACAGCUAAUGAAUUGUUAAACGAACCUUUUGUUAGAGAUGUUCUUUAAAUUAAAAAAAAAAAAUACUAUACGUUUUGUGUAACAGUCAGUUAAUUAUAUAUUGUGUGUAUGUACAUAUACGUAUAUGCGUCAACAAAUAUACUCUGUAUUGUAUUUAUGCAUAUACUUGUAUGUAUGUAUGGCUGCGUAUAUAUAAUAUAUGUCUUGAUAUAUAUAUAUAUAUAUAUAUAUAUAUAUAUAUGUAUAUAUACAGUAAAAAUAUACAUAUUAAUAUGUAUAUGCGUCUUGAAUGAUUUUUAUUUGAAAAAGAAGCAAACUGUAAAAAAGAAGUCUGACCUUUAAGAAAAAAGAAAAUAUCGAUGAAAAAGGAUAAUAAGGAAGCAAAAAAGAAAGUCAAAAAAUUGAUAACAUUGAUUUUUGUACGUGCUGGACAAUCUUCUUGUAUUUUUUUCUUUUUUCUUGUUUUCCCUCUCUUUUUUUUUUUCUUUUUUUGCCGAUGUUUGCAGAGAAGGGGAAAAAAAGAAUCUGAGGAGAAAGAAAAAAAGAAAAUAUUUGUUAUUAUGGUGCGAAUAGUUAACAAAAAAAGAUAUCUGCAAUAUUUCUGUGAUGCAUAUAAGCUAAUAAUAAAAAUUUUAUAAUACAUUUUUAAAACAUAAAGAAA